rnacentral:rRNA from 1 species
CUGCGCGGAAGAUGUAACGGGGCUAAACCAUGCACCGAAGCUGCGGCAGCGACACUAUGUGUUGUUGGGUAGGGGAGCGUUCUGUAAGCCUGCGAAGGUGGCCUGUGAGGGUUGCUGGAGGUAUCAGAAGUGCGAAUGCUGACAUAAGUAACGAUAAAGCGGGUGAAAAGCCCGCUCGCCGGAAGACCAAGGGUUCCUGUCCAACGUUAAUCGGGGCAGGGUG